UUUAUCAAAUCAGAUUUAAGUCGUUAUUUUAUUGCCGUAACGCUUAUGAUUCAUUUCGAAAUAAAAUACCACUUUUGGCAAACAAUGUGCAGUUGAGACUGGCACAAAAAGGAAAUCUCAAUAUAAUUCAACAAAGUGUGUACAGUUUAUUUUAUUUUCGCGCUCGCAAGAUCAAAGUGCAUACUUUUUGACUUUCUGCCAAAGAAGCUAACAAAAAACAAAAAAAAACCAACUUUCGUAAGCAGCGAGCACACAAAAAAUAGAUCAAGUGCACAUAGUUUUUUAGCGGCACUAACGAUAAACAAAUAUAAGAACAAAAAAAGGUUGAAGAAAUUAUUUGUUCGAACACAUCAAAGAACUGAAAAACAAUUUAUUGCUUCAAAAAUGCAGUUGAACUGUGCGCUUGACUUGCAAGCGAGAAUAUUGACGCAAUUUUCACUUUUUGGUAUUUCGACAUUGCAUAACCAUUUAUAAUCAUUUUCAACUCACUAUAAUUUUAUGCACUUUUUCAAUUUGCAAUGUGACAACAGCAGUUGAUUUGAUUGCACCAACACCGCAGCAUCGGCUAACGACUGAUUUCUACAGCUUGCUUGCGGACCCUUGGCGCGCACAUGGGGUGCAAUGAAUGAUCGGCUAAACAGUUGGGGGAAGUGUUUGCACUUGGGGAGUGAAAAGCCCUACCGGCCGCUUCAAUAAGUACCGUUGCAUUAUUAUAUGCAUAGGUGCAUGCACAUAUGUAAAUAAA